rnacentral:tRNA from 1 species
GCGGAUAUGGCGGAAUUGGCAUACGCGCCGGAUUUAGGUUCCGGUGGGAAACCGUGCAGGUUCAAGUCCUGUUAUCCGCACCA